CAAUAGCGUAUAUUAAAGUUGUUGCAGUUAAAAAGCUCGUCGUUGAAUUUUUGCUUGCCGCCGAUGUCGGAACUUCCGUACGUUCGGCGGCGUGCAUCCUUGGGUGGAACCUGUGUGGCAUUAGGUUGUCGUGCAGGGGAUGCUCAUCGUUUACUGUGAAAAAAUUAGAGUGUUCAAAGCAGGCUUACGCCGUUGAAUAUAUUAGCAUGGAAUAAUAAGAUAGGACCUUGGUACUAUUUUGUUGGUUUGCGCACCGAGGUAAUGAUUAACAGGGACAGUUGGGGGUAUUCGUAUUCCAUUGUCAGAGGUGAAAUUCUUGGAUUUCUGGAAGACGAACUACUGCGAAAGCAUUUACCAAGGAUGUUUUCAUUAA
rnacentral:rRNA from 1 species